AGAGGCUUCCGCAAUGGGGGAAACCCUGACGGAGCGACGCCGCGUGCGGGAUGAAGGCUUUCGGGUUGUAAACCGCUUUCAGGUGGGAAGCAAUGCCGGCGAGUGAAUAAUUCUCCUGCCUUGACGGUACCACCAGAAGAAGCCCCGGCCAACUCCGUGCCCGCAGCCGCGGUACCACGGGGGGAGCGAGCGUUGUUCGGAUUCAUUGGGCGUAAAGGGCGCGUAGGCGGCUUCGCAAGUCUGACGUGAAAUGUACCGGUUCAACCGGGGCGCUGUGUCGGAAACUGCGUGGCUUGAGGUCGAGGGAGGAGAGUGGAAUUCCUGGUGUAGCGGUGAAAUGCGUAGAUAUCAGGAGGAACACCCGUGGCGAAGGCGGCUCUCUAUCUCGAUUCUGACGCUGAGGCGCGAAAGCCAGGGGAGCAAAC
rnacentral:rRNA from 1 species